AAAUUGAAGAGUUUGAUCAUGGCUCAGAUUGAACGCUGGCGGCAGGCCUAACACAUGCAAGUCGAGCGGUAGCACAGAGAGCUUGCUCUCGGGUGACGAGCGGCGGACGGGUGAGUAAUGUCUGGGAAACUGCCUGAUGGAGGGGGAUAACUACUGGAAACGGUAGCUAAUACCGCAUAACGUCGCAAGACCAAAGUGGGGGACCUUCGGGCCUCAUGCCAUCAGAUGUGCCCAGAUGGGAUUAGCUAGUAGGUGGGGUAACGGCUCACCUAGGCGACGAUCCCUAGCUGGUCUGAGAGGAUGACCAGCCACACUGGAACUGAGACACGGUCCAGUCUCCUACGGGAGGCAGCAGUGGGGAAUAUUGCUCAAUGGGCGCAAGCCUGAUGCAGCCAUGCCGCGUGUGUGAAGAAGGCCUUCGGGUUGUAAAGCACUUUCAGCGGGGAGGAAGGCGUUAAGGUUAAUAACCUUGGCGAUUGACGUUACCCGCAGAAGAAGCACCGGCUAACUCCGUGCCAGCAGCCGCGGUAAUACGGAGGGUGCAAGCGUUAAUCGGAAUUACUGGGCGUAAAGCGCACGCAGGCGGUCUGUCAAGUCGGAUGUGAAAUCCCCGGGCUCAACCUGGGAACUGCAUUCGAAACUGGCAGGCUAGAGUCUUGUAGAGGGGGGUAGAAUUCCAGGUGUAGCGGUGAAAUGCGUAGAGAUCUGGAGGAAUACCGGUGGCGAAGGCGGCCCCCUGGACAAAGACUGACGCUCAGGUGCGAAAGCGUGGGGAGCAAACAGGAUUAGAUACCCUGGUAGUCCACGCCGUAAACGAUGUCGAUUUGGAGGUUGUGCCCUUGAGGCGUGGCUUCCGGAGCUAACGCGUUAAAUCGACCGCCUGGGGAGUACGGCCGCAAGGUUAAAACUCAAAUGAAUUGACGGGGGCCCGCACAAGCGGUGGAGCAUGUGGUUUAAUUCGAUGCAACGCGAAGAACCUUACCUGGUCUUGACAUCCACAGAACUUUCCAGAGAUGGAUUGGUGCCUUCGGGAACUGUGAGACAGGUGCUGCAUGGCUGUCGUCAGCUCGUGUUGUGAAAUGUUGGGUUAAGUCCCGCAACGAGCGCAACCCUUAUCCUUUGUUGCCAGCGGUCCGGCCGGGAACUCAAAGGAGACUGCCAGUGAUAAACUGGAGGAAGGUGGGGAUGACGUCAAGUCAUCAUGGCCCUUACGACCAGGGCUACACACGUGCUACAAUGGCAUAUACAAAGAGAAGCGACCUCGCGAGAGCAAGCGGACCUCAUAAAGUAUGUCGUAGUCCGGAUUGGAGUCUGCAACUCGACUCCAUGAAGUCGGAAUCGCUAGUAAUCGUAGAUCAGAAUGCUACGGUGAAUACGUUCCCGGGCCUUGUACACACCGCCCGUCACACCAUGGGAGUGGGUUGCAAAAGAAGUAGGUAGCUUAACCUUCGGGAGGGCGCUUACCACUUUGUGAUUCAUGACUGGGGUGAAGUCGUAACAAGGUAACCGUAGGGGAACCUGCGGUUGGAUCACCUCCUUACCUUAAAGAA
rnacentral:rRNA from 1 species